rnacentral:rRNA from 1 species
GAUGAACGCUGGCGGCGUGCCUAAUACAUGCAAGUCGAGCGAACAGACGAGGAGCUUGCUCCUCUGACGUUAGCGGCGGACGGGUGAGUAACACGUGGAUACCCUACCUAUAAGACUGGGAUAACUUCGGGAAACCGGAGCUAAUACCGGAUAAUAUAUUGAACCGCAUGGUUCAUUAGUGAAAGACGGUUUUGCUGUCACUUAUAGAUGGAUCCGCGCCGCAUUAGCUAGUUGGUAAGGUAACGGCUUACCAAGGCAACGAUGCGUAGCCGACCUGAGAGGGUGAUCGGCCACACUGGAACUGAGACACGGUCCAGACUCCUACGGGAGGCGGCAGUAGGGAAUCUUCGGCAAUGGGCGAAAGCCUGACGGAGCAACGCCGCGUGAGUGAUGAAGGUCUUCGGAUCGUAAAACUCUGUUAUUAGGGAAGAACAAAUGUGUAAGUAACUAUGCACGUCUUGACGGUACCUAAUCAGAAAGCCACGGCUAACUACGUG